UGGUGUUCUGCUUUGAAACAAACUGCUGUUGAGGUCUGUGUUUUUAGGUUUAACCCCACAGUUUCUGAAUGAACUGAUAGUUGUUUUUUUUCCUGAUCAAUGUGGACGUUAUAAUUGAUGGUAACAUUUACUGAUCAUAUAAUCAGCAUGACAAUAUAACAGUAUAACAUUCUGACCACCUGACUAAUACUGUGUUGGUCCCUUUAUGCUGCUAAAACUCCUCUGACCCAGUGGUUCAUCAGAACCUCUGGGGAUGUCCUGUGGAUUCUGUGGAUCCUGUGGGUUGCAGGGUGGGUCCUACCUAGACCAGGCUGAUCCUGGACCAUCCCACAGAUGCUCAAUCAGAUCUGGAUGUGGGGAGUGUGGAACCCAGAUGUUCAGAGGGAGAUGAUGCCACAUCUGGUCCAGCUGAUGGAAGGUCUUGAAGUUCUCUGACUGACCUCGACUGAAGAUGGUCGUCUCACUGGAUUUAAGGUUCAGAUGCUCAGUAACAAACUCCACCAAUGAGCCAACAGGGAAGCUUUAGGUUUAUUAAAUGUUGCUAUGAAGGUUUCGCUGUUUUUCUUUGUGAAUGCAAUGUGCUCCAACUGAAACUUGAAUUAGAACUUAGAAGUAAAUCCUUCCAUCUGAAAGGAUUUAGUUGCAUUAAUAACCUCAUAACAUUCUAAUUUUUAUUCCAGUCUUGGUUGGAAAUAGAAUCUCUGUAUUGAUUCAGGUAAAAACUGAACUUCACAGCAUGUUGGAGCAAAACAACCAGAUGAAAACUGUGAUGGUGUUGGAUUGUCAGACCGUAAUGUUGCAGCUCAAAGCAGCUUUUCUAGCUCAGUUCAUUCUGACAUUCAGCUAUGAAUCAACACAGCAGAUGGUGAUCCAUGCUGUGGAAGUCUCACAUCUCCUGAUUUAAUGGAGCUGCUUUGCACUUUUUACACUGUUUAUUCACCAACACUUUAUUUAAUAAAAGUCCCAUCUAGUUUUUAUGAGGAAUGUGAUGUUUUAAUUUCUCUGUGAAUAACUGCAGUCUAAUGCAACAGCUGGAGUUGUAACAUCUGUCCUGAUAUUGAUCAUGAAGUAUUGAUCAGAAUACUUAUGGUCAGCAGUCAUCCCUGAAGUUUUACAUUAAAAUCUUUACUUGUGUUGUGAACUUUGGUAAGAAGCAGAAACUUUUGCGUUGCCAUGGAUACAUGAGUGUUAAAUUCUGUCCAUGUUUCCAUUUUGGGAAAUUCAGUCCAGUUCCAGAAUGUGGAGGAAUUUAGUCUCAUCAUCACAGACAACAAAUAUUAUCUGAAAGUCGGGUUAUUGUUGUUUAUCAGCACAAUACAAAAAGAUUAAUGUUAGAAAUAUUCCAGUUAAGACUCUAGAAUAUCAUGAUUUAUGUAAAUUUACCUCAAUAAUAUGAAUGUUCAGGUUAAGAUUGUGCAGUGAUAUUUAUUAUGUAAGUUUAGCUGAUUAAAGUUUAUGACUCUGCACUAAAAUAUUAUUUAAAUUGACAUCAUUAUUAUAAUAUUUAGGGUCAGAGCCUACUGUAUUGAGAUUAAGAAAUCAAAUAUUCUGUAAAAUGUAAAUACACUGAACUCAUUUGGAUAUAUUUAAGUGAGACUCUACAAUAUUAUUUGACACAAAUCUAUCUAAAUCAAAAUUUUAAUAAUUUUCAUGCCAAACAUUUACUGGACUGAUUUAAACAUUAAAAUCACUCCUUUCUAAUCCUCUGCUGUACGUUCAAACCUGAGGCCUUAAAUAGAAACACACAAGUAUCUGUUUGAAGGAACUUCUGCAGAGUCCUGGUUCCAGAACAUGAUGAUAGAAUUAUAGACAAACUUUAACAAAAGCUGCCUGAGAGUUUACAGGUUUUUAUGUUGGAUUUCUUCAGUAAUUUAAUGAGUUAUCAGCAAAAAUCAAGUGUUCAUUUGAUGAACUUCAUUUCCUAAAACAUCCAGAAUUGGAGCUCAUAUCUUUGGCAGCUGUAAAGUUUCUGCUCCUUCAAAGUUCACAACACAAUGAAUGAAUUCCUAAAACACUCUCAAUGCUGGAGAGCGUUUGAUGCUGAAGCAGUGAUCAGUUUUUCUGUUUCUUCUCUGGAGAUGCACAAUGAGGGACGUCUGCAGAGACUGAGAAAGAGUCUCACCACAUCCUGACAUGAGGAAAAAGACUUUAUUGAAGACUACAAUGAGAAAAACUAUCAGACAGCAGACGGCUGCAUUCAAGGUGAGCUCUGAACAUUUGAUCUGGAACAGGAAUUCAAUAACGGCAGCAUGAGCUUCAUUUCAGUCUGUAGCUGCUGAAUUCAUGGAUGAAUCAUCUGGCACUAGAGAGGAAGACCAUCAAACAUCCACGUCAGCUGAUGGAGGUCCAAGAGUCUCACCCAACAAACAACCUACAGAGUGAAGACCUCGAAUCUGAUUGGACGGCCUCCUAUUCAGCCACAUUUUAGGCUGUUAGAUUGUUCCAGAUAAGACAAGUACAAGAUUCUUCAGAGCCGUUCUACCACGAGCCUGACAGGAAGAACUCCAACAGCUACUGAAUGUUCCUGUGGUUCCCUCAAGGCUACAGGAGGAGCCCUACGAGGACGAGCCGGUCCACCUGAUGGCGGCCAGUCGCUGCGGUUCAAAGCCAACACCGACUACGUGGACUUCUACUGGACCACAUGGAGGCCUUCAAACCGGACCAACAAGUUCACCGACUCCCCGACUCGUGGGUCUGAGGAUGCCGCCGAGCCUCGGUCCAGCCGGCCUCCUGUCUGUGGGUGUUUGAGUGCUGAGAGGUUUGUGGAUGCAUGUGAACAUGUCUGUGUUGAAACAGCAGCUUUGGACUCAGUAACGCCAGGAAAAACCAAGAGCUCCUUUAUUUGUGACUUCCACUAAAAAAACUGAUGAAAAUAAGUUUGCCAGGGUUCUGACUGAUAACAGAUUAUUAAAUAAUGAAAAUAAUUAUUUAAAUAUUCCUUUAAACAAUCCUUUUAGGUCUACAUUUCCUUUACACUGACUUCUUGGUACAUGUACAAGUAUUUUGGAUGGAAUAUACUCUUAAGCCUGAUGUUCAAGGGUUCUUCUGGGAAUAUACCAUUAAACCAACAUUUUAGGUAAAUGUUCCAGGAUGUUGAGUAAAAUAUACCAUCAGAUAAACCUUUUAGGUCUACAUUGGAAGAUUUUAGAGUAGAAUAUUACUCCAAACCAUCCUUUAGGUCUACAUUUAAGGUGGAAUACUCCUUUACACCAAGAUUUUUUGGUCUAGGAUUUUGGAUGGAAUAUUCGGUUAAACCAACCUUUUAGGUCAACAUUCAAAGAUUUAAGGUGGAAUAUUCCUUUAAACCAACCUAAAUUUCAUGUUUUGAUCAUUAUCAAGUGAGAAACCUCAAUCCAGACUCCUCAUAAUGACGUUUGAGAUUUAUGCUGCUGUUAUUUGUUUAGUCCAGACUAAAUGACAGAAAUCCACAACUGUAAUUUUAUUUCAGGACUCGGUUAUUAAAUGUCAAAACAAUCCAUGUGACUCUAAAAACUCAACAGCUGUACAAACUCUAAGAUUAAACUUUCCACAAGGAUCCAAAACAAGUUGGACUUCUACAUGAGAGCUUCAAUUAUUCUUCAUCUACUUCCUGAAAAGUUUGGUCAAUAAAAAAGACAAAAACUAAUAUUUUCAGUUGAACUAAAGACAGACUUUGUGAUUUUUCUGCUCACAUGUUGUGUUGUUGUAAACUUACUCUUUCAAAUAAAUAGCCUCCUAACCCCCUGGAAACCAGCGUUUGUCCUGUUUUUGUGUUGCUCCUCGGCGACCCUAGACAGCCGGGUCGUAAUGUUUUUUGAGCAACACACCAUACUAUGACGUUUUUACAAUGAUGGUUCUACUAUGGAACCAGUUUGACAUGUUCAGGUGUUCUUUGUGUGAA